AGUGAACGCUGGCGGUAGGCCUAACACAUGCAAGUCGAACGGCAGCACAGUAAGAGCUUGCUCUUACGGGUGGCGAGUGGCGGACGGGUGAGGAAUACAGCGGAAUCUACUUUUUCGUAGGGGAUAACGUAGGGAAACUUACGCUAAUACCGCAUACGACCUACGGGUGAAAGCAGGGGAUCUUCGGACCUUGCGCGAUUGAAUGAGCCGAUGUCGGAUUAGCUAGUUGGCGGGGUAAAGGCCCACCAAGGCGACGAUCCGUAGCUGGUCUGAGAGGAUGAUCAGCCACACUGGAACUGAGACACGGUCCAGACUCCUACGGGAGGCAGCAGUGGGGAAUAUUGGACAAUGGGCGCAAGCCUGAUCCAGCCCUACCGCGUGGGUGAAGAAGGCCUUCGGGUUGUAAAGCCCUUUUGUUGGGAAAGAAAAGCAGCAGGUUAAUACCCCGCUGUUCUGACGGUACCCAAAGAAUAAGCACCGGCUAACUUCGUG
rnacentral:rRNA from 1 species